AAAAAAUGGCUGCAAAACUGCUGCUGAGAGUGAGGAGCGAAAGAUGUGAGAGAACAGCCCUACAGGCACCAGUGUCAGCGCAGAAGGAGGGCAGGAGGAACUCCAGGCACAGCAGCAGCUUCCUGCAGCCCAGGAACGGCCCACAAAGGAGUAGGCUGUCCCUCUGCAGCCCCUGAGUACCUUGCGGAGCAGAUCUCCCCGUGAAGCUACGGAGGAGCCGGCGGGGCAGCCAUGAAUGAGGCCUGAAGGAGGCACAGCCCUGGGUACCCCCGCGGGAGCGGCCCGGGCCGGAGCUGCCGCCCGUGAGGACCGGUGUAGAGCAGUGCCUGAAAGGUGGGCACCGUGGUACGGAGCCCUGUUGGAGCAGUGCUGGGAGAGCUGCAGUCUGUGGGAAACCCACGCAGGAUCAGUUCAGGAAGGACGGCACGCUGUGGGAGGGAUCCACGUGGAGAGGAGGCAGAGAGAGACCAUGGAGGAGCAGCAGAGACCAAGUGUUACAGACUGACCACUGCCACAUUCCUCAUUACCCUGCGCCACUUGUAGGAAUGAGGUGGGGAUGUCUUUGCAGUGCCACACCUGCAGAGAAUGGGAGGGAGUGAAGGCACUCAGUGGCAUGUGAUACUUACCUAAUAAGACUAUGUGAAACACUAAAGUCUUGAAGAUUCAGGUCGGUACUCCAGAAGUGAAUUUUAUCUUUUAUCGUGCUUUCAUAUAAUGUCAUCAAAACGUGGUCAAGAUGAUGCCAUCACCUGUUUGAACUGACCUUGGCACUAUUGUGAAAUAAUAGAUGAGUAAUGAAUAAAUGUUUAUAAAACUUUAUUACAGAAAUCACUGUGUUUAGUUUCAUUGAAUUAAAAAAAUAAUCAAAAUAUUAAUAAAGGAAACAGGAAUAUGAAC
ensembl:lncRNA